GAUGAAGAACGUAGCGAAAUGCGAUAAGUAAUGUGAAUUGCAGAAUUCAGUGAAUCAUCGAAUCUUUGAACGCACAUUGCGCCCGCCAGUAUUCUGGCGGGCAUGCCUGUUCGAGCGUCAUUUCAACCAUCAAGCCCCAGGCUUGUGUUGGGGACCUGCGGCUGCCGCAGGCCCUGAAAACCAGUGGCGGGCUCGCUGUCACACCGGGCGUAGUAGAUUUUAUCUCGCUCAGGGCGUGCUGCGGGUUCCGGCCGUGAAACCCCCUACUUCUCAAGGUUGACCUCGGAUCAGGUAGGAAUACCCGCUGAACUUAAGCAUAUCAAUAAGCGGAGGA
rnacentral:misc_RNA from 1 species